GACGAACGCUGGCGGCGUGCUUAACACAUGCCAGUCGAACGGUGAUGCUCCAGCUUGCUGGAGUGGAUCAGUGGCGAACGGGUGAGUAACACGUGAGCAACCUGCCCCAGACUCUGGAAUAAGCGCUGGAAACGGCGUCUAAUACUGGAUACGAAACUGGCCCGCAUGGGCAUGGUUUGGAAAGUUUUUCGGUUUGGGAUGGGCUCGCGGCCUAUCAGCUUGUUGGUGAGGUAAUGGCUCACCAAGGCGACGACGGGUAGCCGGCCUGAGAGGGCGACCGGCCACACUGGGACUGAGACACGGCCCAGACUCCUACGGGAGGCAGCAGUGGGGAAUAUUGCACAAUGGGCGAAAGCCUGAUGCAGCGACGCCGCAUGAGGGAUGACGGCCUUCGGGUUGUAAACCUCUUUCAGCAGGGAAGAAGCGAAAGUGACGGUACCUGCAGAAGAAGCACCGGCUAACUACGUG
rnacentral:rRNA from 1 species